AGUGAACGCUGGCGGUAGGCCUAACACAUGCAAGUCGAACGGCAGCACAGUAAGAGCUUGCUCUUACGGGUGGCGAGUGGCGGACGGGUGAGGAAUACAUCGGAAUCUACUUUUUCGUGGGGGAUAACGUAGGGAAACUUACGCUAAUACCUCAUACGACCUACGGGUGAAAGCAGUGGAUCUUCGGACCUUUCGCGAUUGAAUGAGCCGAUGUCGGAUUAGCUAGUUGGCGGGGUAAAGGCCCACCAAGGCGACGAUCCGUAGCUGGUCUGAGAGGAUGAUCAGCCACACUGGAACUGAGACACGGUCCAGACUCCUACGGGAGGCAGCAGUGGGGAAUAUUGGACAAUGGGCGCAAGCCUGAUCCAGCCAUACCGCGUGGGUGAAGAAGGUCUUCGGGUUGUAAAGCCCUUUUGUUGGGAAAGAAAAGCAGCAGGUUAAUACCCCGCUGUUCUGACGGUACCCAAAGAAUAAGCACCGGCUAACUUCGUG
rnacentral:rRNA from 1 species